AGAGUUUGAUCCUGGCUCAGAGCGAACGCUGGCGGCAGGCUUAACACAUGCAAGUCGAACGCCAUCUUCGGAUGGAGUGGCAGACGGGUGAGUAACGCGUGGGAACGUACCCUUUGGUUCGGAAUAUUCUCGGGAAACUGGGAGCAAUACCGGAUAAGCCCUACGGGGGAAAGAUUUAUCGCCAAAGGAGCGGCCCGCGUCAGAUUAGGUAGUUGGUGGGGUAAAGGCCUACCAAGCCUACGAUCUGUAGCUGGUCUGAGAGGAUGAUCAGCCACACUGGGACUGAGACACGGCCCAGACUCCUACGGGAGGCAGCAGUGGGGAAUCUUGGACAAUGGGCGCAAGCCUGAUCCAGCCAUGCCGCGUGGAUGAUGAAGGCCUUAGGGUUGUAAAAUCCUUUCAACGGGGACGAUAAUGACGGUACCCGUAGAAGAAGCCCCGGCUAACUUCGUGCCAGCAGCCGCGGUAAUACGAAGGGGGCUAGCGUUGCUCGGAAUUACUGGGCGUAAAGCGCACGUAGGCGGAUAUUUAAGUCGGAGGUGAAAGCGCCAGG
rnacentral:rRNA from 1 species